AGAUUCCAUUGUUUCCAAAAGUCUCCCCAACGACUUGGAUAGAAAAAGUCUCCCAAGCAAAGAUGUAAGACAAAAGUUACUGGCAAGUUUUCCUUCUAAUAUUUUGCUAGUUUGAUAAAAAAUUUAUCUAUCAGAUCCCAUAUAUAUGAAGAAAGCAGGUUCAAUGGAUGCUAUUUUGGAAAUUGCAGAGAGGUAUUAACAAACAGAGAGCAAAACUGAUGAUCGGGAACCUUAUAUUAUGAAGCCAUUAGAGGAACUUACAUUUUGGCCCAUUGAACGCUGAAGAGCACUUCGGGUAGAGAAGCGCAUAACCUCAGGAAGAGAUGCACUACAUUGGGAGGAGACGUGCGGUAUACCUUGGGCUGGCUCUUUCAGACAGCAGGACCCCUUGUCAAGUGGAAAAUCAUUUGUCAGGCACUGGAACCUUUCACAAAACAGUUUGGAUCCACCUAGUUAUAAAUGUAGGCACAAUUAAUUAUCCAAGAAAGAACAGUACAAUACACCAGGUGAAGUAAACUUUGCAAGUGAAAUUAAGUUCACCUUCAUAAGUGAAAUUAAUUGAGGC